rnacentral:rRNA from 1 species
GGACCAGAAAAGUAGUACCAAUUUUUUAAAAAAAGUACUAAAAAAAGUUUUGAAAAAAAAAUGAAAAUUUUCCCUAAAAAAUUUUAUUUUU